rnacentral:tRNA from 1 species
UCCUUGGUGGUCCAGUGGUUAAGAUUCUGUGCUCCCAAUGCAGGGGGCCUAGGUAUGAUCCCUGGUCAUGGAA